UACGAAGGGGGCUAGCGUUGCUCGGAAUGACUGGGCGUAAAGGGCGCGUAGGCGGUUCAUACAGUCAGAUGUGAAAUUCCUGGGCUUAACCUGGGGGCUGCAUUUGAUACGUGUGGGCUUGAGUGAGGAAGAGGGUUGUGGAAUUCCCAGUGUAGAGGUGAAAUUCGUAGAUAUUGGGAAGAACACCGGUGGCGAAGGCGGCGACCUGGUCCGGGACUGACGCUGAGGCGCGAAAGCGUGGGGAGCAAACAGG
rnacentral:rRNA from 1 species